rnacentral:rRNA from 1 species
AUUGAACGCUGGCGGCAGGCUUAACACAUGCAAGUCGAGCGGAGCGAGGGUGCUUGCACCUUAGCUUAGCGGCGGACGGGUGAGUAAUGCUUAGGAAUCUGCCUAUUAGUGGGGGACAACAUUCCGAAAGGAAUGCUAACACAGCAGACGCCCUACGGGGGAAAGCAAGGGAUCUUCGGACAUGGCGCUAACAGAUGAGCCUAAGUCGGAUUAGCUAGUCGGUGGGGUAAAGGCCUACCAAGGCGACGAUCUGUAGCGGGUCUGAGAGGAUGAUCCGCCACACUGGGACUGAGACACGGCCCAGACUCCUACGGGAGGCAGCAGUGGGGAAUAUUGGACAAUGGGCGGAAGCCUGAUCCAGCCAUGCCGCGUGUGUGAAGAAGGCCUUUUGGUUGUAAAGCACUUUAAGCGAGGAGGAGGCUACUUAGAUUAAUACUCUGGGAUAGUGGACGUUACUCGCAGAAUAAGCACCGGCUAACUCUGUGCCAGCCGCCGCCGUAAAAC